UACGGAGGGUGCGAGCGUUGUCCGGAAUCAUUGGGCGUAAAGGGCGCGUAGGUGGCGGCUUAAGCGUGCGGUGAAAGCUCGGGGCUCAACCCCCGAGUCGGCCGUGCGAACUGAGUCGCUUGAGCACUGUAGAGGCAGGCGGAAUUCCGGGUGUAGCGGUGGAAUGCGUAGAGAUCCGGAAGAACACCGGUGGCGAAGGCGGCCUGCUGGGCAGUAGCUGACACUGAGGCGCGACACGUGGGGGAGCAAACAGG
rnacentral:rRNA from 1 species